CUUGGCUACCAAUGACUAGGAAUGGGGGGGAAGGGAACAACAGUCAGGUUACCAUGAGACCAAGGUUUGCUCAUCCUGAGACUUAGGUUAAUUGUCACUGUGGCUUUCUCAGAGUUGGUUAAGGCAUUUCUCAAUUGCCAUAAACUUAGAGUGUUUUGUCUACUUUGGUAAAAAACAGACACACAGUGUUGCUUAGCUUUCGUGUCCUUUUGUUUUAGGAAAAAAACAGCUCAUUCAGGGAGCUAAAAUGUCCAUAUAGCAACUAGAUGCAAUAAAGAGCAGUGUAAGGAUGCAGAACCCAUUUUGUUAUUUCUAAAUCUGGUUGGUCAUCAGGAACAGCAUGAAAGAACCUCUUUAAAUCGUUGUGAAUAAUGAAGAUGAAGGGCCCUUAGACAUCAGUCAUAAAGUUCAGCUACUUGGAUUAUCCUUAACAAAUAAUCAAAUACUGCUGGGCCACAAGGAGCCACCUGAUAGAGCUGACAGAAAGACUGUUCUUCAAAGGGAGAACCUGCCUUUUGAACUGGUUGCAGUGACUGGAUGUGGCUUUGGAGGAAAAUGUAAUGUUAUGGACUACUAAAGCUGGUGAGCGCAAGAAGCAGGUACAAGCAUGCUAUAAAGAGGCAUGUCUGCUUGGUCAUGGUUUCUGAUCUCUGAUGGAUAUGUAAGAAAACCCAACACCAAUGUAAUUUCCAGGGACACCUUAUUCUCAGUGGGCCAGCAGGAGCUUUUGCAGAUCCCAUGGAAAGUGGCACAAAGAUCAAAAGGUAUAACUGAACCACGGUGAAGCACACUCUGUAACACAAUCAGGCUGAUACACAAGUGGAACAGCAAAGACGUAAUGGAGGACGCCCACUUGUUGCAACUGUACCUGCCGUGCCAGCCAUCUAUCACUGGUUUCAGCAAGGGGCCUGCAGGAAUACAGUCUGGGACGGACUUAAAUGGUGUCCCUGACACGGAAGCCCAAGACACUGCUUCAUGUAUCCAGGGAAGACACCCUUUAGGGACCCCUAGAGGAAUCUGAGAGGGCUGGAGUCACAGAAAUGCUCUUUGGGUUACAUGAAACAUAACUGGAUUUUUACCCUAACUGCUGUGGUUACAUAAGCAAAGAACAAAUAGCCUUUAUGCAAGUUUAUGAGCUAUUUCCUCAAUGCUGCCAUAAUCCUGUUGCUUUUUUCAGCAAUGUAAUGAAACAGUUUUAAUGAAACCAAUAAAAAUGA